CAGAAUACAUGAUGAUCUACCCCACCUUGAACUCUCUCACUGAUUCCUUGAUGAAUAUAAAAGAUCUGAUAUUCUG